rnacentral:lncRNA from 1 species
AUGGGCACUGGCACCCCCAUCACCCUGCUCUGCCCUUCCUUUAGGGAUUCCCAGCCCUGUGGGUGCUUCGGUGGGGUAGAGGAGGAGGAGGAGGAGGAAGAUCCCCUCCCUGGGGCCAUGUCCUAUGGCCCUGCUGCUAUCUCCCCAUCCCAGUCCCACCCCAAGGAAGGUCCCGCAGCCCCAAGGAGCAGCCUGGAGCACGGGGCCAGCCCCGGGGCUGCUUUUUCCCUCGAAUCAGCCCCUGGGGCUGCCUCUGAGCAGGAUCCCUCCUCGGUGCCUGCUGCGAGCAGCCAGGGCCGGCCUUGGCUGCGGGGCUCGGGGCAAGGCAGCGCUUUCCAAAGCAAAUAUUUGAGCAGUUCAACAACACGUGGGAAAGAGCAGGGGCGUUCGCUUCCCCGGCUCGGGGCAAGGCAGCGGCUCCACGGAGCUGGACCUGGGCCGGGGAGGGGGUUUGGCCAUGCCCUGACCCGUGCCCGUGCUGAGCUGCGCAGGUUUCGGACCUUUUUCUGCUCCGUGGGUUUGCACAAAGAGGCUUUUAGUUUGCACCCCAGCAAAGGGGCAUCGCUCUUGGCUGGUGUUGAAAAGCCCUGGGCAGCGGGGCCGGCGGCUGGCGGAGGAGCUGGGCUGCAGCGGGGCCGUCUCCUCCUCUGCCAAAGAUGCUCAAAGCAGCUGCGGUCCCCGGGGGACCCCAAACCCACCCCAAAACCCGUCUGCUACCCUGGGGUGGUACCGGUGCUGGGAACGGCGUGGUUCCCACCCGCCCAGGGUUUUUUCUUGGAAAUGAUGCUGGAGCUGGGAACUGAGCCCGUGCAGAAGGUAAGGGCUGGUUCCCCGGCACCUGCCCCGACCCGCCGGGCACCCAGCAGCACCCACGGCUGGUGCCACCCGCUCGUGCCUGUGCCACAUCGGGCAGGACGGGGCUGGCAACCUCGGCCGCCUGUCCCCGAGCACCGAGGCUCAGCGCCGAGCAGGUGUCAGGAACAGCUCGCCAGCUCUUCCUCCUCCUCCUCCUCCUCUCCAGGAGACACCAGCAGUCAUGGAUACGGUGUCCCCAGGCGGUGCCGUGCCCCGAGCACUGAGUCCCCACGGUGUCCUGCGGGGCUCGUGCGAGCCAGGGCUUCCCCAGGGCUUCUCCAUAACGGGAGCUGCCCCGGCCCCUCUGCCCUCCUGCUCCUCUCCAUAAGAGGAGCGGCGGCGGGGAGCGCCGAGCCUGCGCUUGGCUUCCCUCGGCGGAUUCCUUUCCUGCCUGUCACCGACCGAUAUAGUCCCCGCGUCAGCCCAAGAGCGUCAGCCGGGGCUGUGGCUGGCUCUCGGUGCCCAGGGGUGCCGCUGGGUGCCGGGGUUCCUUCUCCUGGCGCCGUCGCCCUCCCGCAUCACGGCAGCCACCCCUGGUGCAAAAAAGGGAAUGGAAAGAAGGGUUUUGGGUUGUUUUUCCUCUCUUUUAUCGUUCUGGGCUCCUGCCUCUUGCAGGUUCAGGGCAUGGAAAAGCUGCUCGGCACCACUGCCCUGUGGUUCCCCCGGGGAGCCAGGCAGUGGGACCCCCACCAUGCGCACCGGGCUGGGACCCCUCGGGCCCUGGAGAACACCCGGUGUGUAGCUCUGCCAUAUCACCCCGCCUGGUGGAGUUAA